ACAAUGGUGUUUCUAAACACCACCAACUCUAGAUGGAGUUAUUAU
rfam:Picea glauca, whole genome shotgun sequence.